GGGCGAGGAUUGAGUUUAAUUAUCUGAUAUCCCCAAGACCUAGCUCAAAGCCCAGGAAAGCUGUGGCCCAGUGGGAAGGGAGGUAGGAGUGAGUAAAGUGGGAGACAGAGAGAUGGGGUCUAUGUUUCCAGAGCUGAUCUUGAACUCCUGGACUCAAAUGACUCCCCCACCUUGGCCUCCCAAAGUGCUGAGAUUACAGGUGCGAGCCCCCAUGCCUGGCCCAAAAUGCUGUUUCUGAAUGAAGUAUAUUUGGCUGUUUUGUGAGACAUUCUGCGGGAAAAGAAAAAUAAAUAUAGAUGGCAGAAGACAAUGAAGAAUUCUGAAGGAGAAAGUGUGUGACCCAAGAAUUCCAAAAGCAGUUAUUGCUUUCUACACAUAAAAGCAAUAGAAAGACACUCCUGGCCGGGUGCGGUGGCUCAUGUCUGUUAAUCCCAGCACUUUGGGAGGCCGAGGCGAGCGGAUCACCUGAGGUCAGGAGUUCGAGACCAGCCCGGCCAACAUGAUGAAAGCCCGUUUCUAUUCAAAAUACAAAAAUUACCUGGGCGUGGUGGCACACGCCUGUAAUCCCAGCUACUCGGGAGGCUGAGGCAGCAGAAUCACUUGAACCCAGGAGGCGGAGGUUGCAGUAAGCCAAGAUUGCGCCACUACACUCCAGCCUCGGUGACAGAGAAAGACUCCGUCUCAAAAAAAAAAAAAAAAAAAAAAUUACAGAGUUCCUUCUAAUCUAUAUAAUUCAAUCACCACUAAGACAUUCUAAAAACUGAAGACUUACAAGGCCUUAUCUUUAUAGAGAGAUAUACACAGAGAUGAGAAGCAGCUAGCACUCACC